rnacentral:rRNA from 1 species
AUUGAACGCUGGCGGCAUGCUUUACACAUGCAAGUCGAACGGUAACAGGCCUUCGGGUGCUGACGAGUGGCGAACGGGUGAGUAAUGCAUUGGAACGUGCCCAGAGGUGGGGGAUAACGCAGCGAAAGCUGUGCUAAUACCGCAUGUGAUCUGAGGAUGAAAGCGGGGGACCAGGCAGCAAUGUUUGGCCUCGCGCCUUUGGAGCGGCCGAUGUCAGAUUAGGUAGUUGGUGGGGUAAAGGCCUACCAAGCCGACGAUCUGUAGCUGGUCUGAGAGGACGACCAGCCACACUGGGACUGAGACACGGCCCAGACUCCUACGGGAGGCAGCAGUGGGGAAUUUUGGACAAUGGGCGCAAGCCUGAUCCAGCAAUGCCGCGUGCGGGAAGAAGGCCUUCGGGUUGUAAACCGCUUUUGUACGGAACGAAAAGGCUCUGGCUAAUACCUGGGGCUGAUGACGGUACCGUAAGAAUAAGCACCGGCUAACUACGUG